UGCGUAGGCGGGUCUUUAAGUCAGGGGUGAAAUCCUGGAGCUCAACUCCAGAACUGCCUUUGAUACUGAAGAUCUUGAGUUCGGGAGAGGUGAGUGGAACUGCGAGUGUAGAGGUGAAAUUCGUAGAUAUUCGCAAGAACACCAGUGGCGAAGGCGGCUCACUGGCCCGAUACUGACGCUGAGGCGAGCUGGGAGCAACA
rnacentral:rRNA from 1 species